GGGAAAAACGGGAAAAAACGGGAAAAAACGGGAAAUAAUUGAGAGUUAGAUCGGGUCUGGAUAAUCCUGGGGUUAGGCCAGGCCUGGGAACGGGAAAAACCGGGAAAAACGGGAAAUUGGGAGUUAGGUCAGGCUUGGAUAAUCCUGGGGUUAGGCCAGGCCUGGGAACGGGGAAAAAACGGGGAAAAAUGGGGAAAAAACGGGAAAUUGGGAGUUAGGCCAGGCCUGGGAACGGGAAAUUCCUGGGAAUUGGGGGUUAGGCCAGGCCUGGAAAAGAGGGAGUAUCUGGGAAAUCAUGGGAAAUGGGGAUUUAGGUCCAAAUCCUGGGAUCAGGGGAUCCUGUUCCCACAUUCCCAAGCCCCACUCCCAUAAUAUUCCCAAAAUUCCUGUUAUUCCCGUUAUCACCCGAGUCCAUGGGGUGGUUGUUGCGCAGGUCCAGCCCCAUUCCCACAUCCCAGAAUUCCCGUUUUUCCCUGGAAUUCCCACCAGAAUCCAUGAGGUGGUUGUUGCCCAUUCCCAAACCCCAGAAUUCCCAAAAUUCCCAAAAUUCCCAUUAUUCCCACCCCAGUCCAUGAGGUGGUUGCUGAGCAGGUCCAGCCCCAUUCCCACAUUCCCACACCCCAGAAUUCCUGUUUUUCCCACAUUUCCCACCCAAAUCCAUGAGGUGGUUGUUGCCCAUUCCCACAUUUCCCAACCCCAGAAUUCCCCAGAAUUCCCAAAAUUCCUGUUAUUCCCACCGGAAUUCAUGAGGUGGUUGUUGCGCAGGUCCAGCCCCAUUCCCAGACCCCAGAAUUCCCAAAAUUCCUGUUUUUCCCACAUUUCCCACCGGAAUCCAUCAGGUGGUUGUUGCCCAUUCCCAAGCCCCAGAAUUCCCGUUUUUCCCGUUAUUCCCACCGGAAUCCAUCAGGUGGUUGUUGCGCAGGUCCAGCCCCGUUCCCAAGCCCCAAAAUUCCCUGGAAUUCCCAGAAUUCCCACCGGAAUCCAUCAGGUGGUUGUUGCGCAGGUCCAGCCCCACUCCCCCAUUCCCAGACCCCAGAAUUCCCGUUUUUCCCUGGAAUUCCCACAUUUCCCACCGGAGUCCAUGAGGUGGUUGUUGCGCAGGUCCAGGAUCUGGAUGCAGCCGUUGAACUUGAGCAGGUUCCCGAGCUGGGCCGAAUCCUGCAGCCCGUUCAGCUUGUUGUCAGCCAGGUACAGCUCCCGGAGCGUCACGUUCAUCUUCAGAGCUGUGGCUGUGGGGAAAUGGGGAAAAAAACAGGAAAAAUGAGAAAAAAUGGGAAUAAAACGGGAAAUAAAUAACUGGGAAUG
rnacentral:lncRNA from 1 species